CCUUCUUCAUGUAUUUUGCAGGGAAACCAUUAGAGCUAAGUGGAUAACAAUAGAGAAAAAUUACUAGAAAUAAACAUGUUUAUGAUCCAACCUGUCAUAUAAAUAUAAAUUAAUAGGACCUAAAUGGAAAUUGGACCUGAUUUUAUUAAUCAAGAAAAGAUAGCCGACUUGAUCAACCAAAUGGAGUGACCGAUUUGAAUCCAUCUCAAAAUCCUAGACCCAAGU
rnacentral:lncRNA from 1 species